GUAGUCCUGGCCGUAAACGAUGUCGACUUGGAGGUUGUGCCCUUGAGGCGUGGCUUCCGGAGCUAACGCGUUAAGUCGACCGCCUGGGGAGUACGGCCGCAAGGUUAAAACUCAAAUGAAUUGACGGGGGCCCGCACAAGCGGUGGAGCAUGUGGUUUAAUUCGAUGCAACGCGAAGAACCUUACCUGGUCUUGACAUCCACGGAAGUUUUCAGAGAUGAGAAUGUGCCUUCGGGAACCGUGAGACAGGUGCUGCAUGGCUGUCGUCAGCUCGUGUUGUGAAAUGUUGGGUUAAGUCCCGCAACGAGCGCAACCCUUAUCCUUUGUUGCCAGCGGUCCGGCCGGGAACUCAAAGGAGACUGCCAGUGAUAAACUGGAGGAAGGUGGGGAUGACGUCAAGUCAUCAUGGCCCUUACGACCAGGGCUACACACGUGCUACAAUGGCGCAUACAAAGAGAAGCGACCUCGCGAGAGCAAGCGGACCUCAUAAAGUGCGUCGUAGUCCGGAUUGGAGUCUGCAACUCGACUCCAUGAAGUCGGAAUCGCUAGUAAUCGUGGAUCAGAAUGCCACGGUGAAUACGUUCCCGGGCCUUGUACACACCGCCCGUCACACCAUGGGAGUGGGUUGCAAAAGAAGUAGGUAGCUUAACCUUCGGGAGGGCGCUUACCACUUUGUGAUCCAUGACUGGGGUGAAGUCGUAACAAGGUAACCGUAGGGGAACCUGCGGCUGGAUCACCUCC
rnacentral:rRNA from 1 species